rnacentral:rRNA from 1 species
GGCAUGCCUUCACAUGCAGGUCGAACGGCAGCACGGGGGCAACCCUGGAUGGCGAGUGGCGAACGGGUGAGUAAUACAUCGGAACGUGUCCUGUAGUGGGGGAUAGCCCGGCGAAAGCCGGAUUAAUACCGCAUACGCUCUGUGGAGGAAAGGGGGGGAUCUUCGGACCUCUCGCUCAAGGGGCGGCCGAUGGCAGAUUAGCUAGUUGGUGGGGUAAAGGCCUACCAAGGCGACGAUCUGUAGCUGGUCUGAGAGGACGACCAGCCACACUGGGACUGAGACACGGUCCACACUCCUACGGGAGGCAGCAGUGGGGAAUUUUGUACAAUGGGCUCAAGCCUGAUCCAGCAAUGCCGCGUGUGUUUCCACGUGUAGCAGUGAAAUGGGUAGAGAUGUGGAGGAAUACCGAUGGCGAAAGGCAGCCCCCUGGGCCAAUACUGACGCUCAUGCACGAAAGCGUGGGGAGCAAACAGGAUUAGAUACCCUGGUAGUCCACGCCCUAAACGAUGUCAACUGGUUGUCGGGGCCUUCAUUGGCUUGGUAACGUAGCUAACGCGUGAAGUUGACCGCCUGGGGAGUACGGUCGCAAGAUUAAAACUCAAAGGAAUUGACGGGGACCCGCACAAGCGGUGGAUGAUGUGGAUUAAUUCGAUGCAACGCGAAAAACCUUACCUACCCUUGACAUGGUCGGAAUCCUGCUGAGAGGUGGGAGUGCCCGAAAGGGAACCGAUACACAGGUGAUGCAUGGCUGUUGUCAGCUCGUGUCGUGAGAUGUUGGGUUAAGUCCG